rnacentral:lncRNA from 1 species
UUUUCUGUAUAUGUCUGUUAAGUUAGUUAACAGCUUCUUUAAAAUGACCAGCUGUGAAGAAGCAGUGGUGACAUAAAGAAUGAUUCCAGCAUGACACUAGGACUCAGAGUCAACGCCCCACUCACCUUUCCCUCAGGGUUGCAGACCAGUACACCACAGUGAAGGGAGAAGCCUCUGAAUAACAAGGGUCACCAAUGAGGAGAUGAUGACAGU